AGAGAUAUAAACCACAUGGAACAACUCACCUAUGUUCACUCCGAGCAGAAUUACAGGACAAGGGGAGAUUCAAUUAGAAUGAAAAGCAAUCAAUCCAGACCCACAAUUUCAAGAUACAGAAUAAUUACCAGCUAAGUGAAAAUUUUUGACUGCAAGACCUUCACAUUGAGAUUGUUUCUAAGAAAACAGUAUAUUUUGCUUCCCAGAGCCGGAAAUAUGGGCACAACUCAACUGUAAUUUCCAAGCCAUCUUACUUCAUAGUUCUACCCGAAACUAAGUUGAAGUAGUGAGCAGAUUCCUCUUACCUGUUUGUGAGCAUGAUCAUAAGAGUUAAUGUGAUUGUCAAACUCCUGGUGUUUAUAGUACUGCUUGUCACAGAGUUCACAGUAGAAGUUCGCUUUAAGAUCUUCCAGAGCUUUUGCUAUCGUGUUUUUCUUUUCAGCAUAAUCCUGGAGGGGGGUGGGGAAAAAGGAAUUUUAGUUUUGCCUUUGAUGCUGCGAAUGGAUUUUGUGCUCUGCAGUUAAUCAUAUUUGUCAACAUUUACAAACCUCCAUAACUAAAAGCCUUCACAUAUUUGCUGUGUUACACCGCACAUAUUUACUGUAUCUGCUGUGAGGUUGAAGAUUUGCACACUCCAAUUUGCUAUACAGUUGCCAGCUCCCCAUAGGGGCUCUGUCAGAGGCUAGAAGCAUUUUCCCGUGUUCUGUCUACAUAAAAAUAUUUAUCAUGCUGAGGCUAUUUUUGAGGCAAUUUCAAUCCAAGACCUGCUAGGUAAUACAUCCAAGCAGAAUAAGCAUGAAGACACAAACUGCAAUAAAUUAGUUAUUAAGCUUUUACAAGAAAGUGUGUUUACUAGAAAGAAAACAGAAUUCAAGGAACCCUCCUGGGACCUUAUUGAACCCCUCUACACAUGAAAACCUGAGGAACACUUUCAAAGCUGAGAUGUGAACUUGCAGCCCUAGAGAUGAAAAUCCCUCUUGAGCAUGAAAACUGAAGGCUGGAACAGAUGUCAGUGUUCAUCCCUGGCAGCCCUCCACCCAAGGGGUAUGACUACAUCUUUCAUGCAACCUUUCAGGACUCCAGGAAAGGAAAGGACAGGAGGAGGGCAAGUUGUUUAUUUACUUCACCUCAGGUUAACUGAUUGCCAAGUGACCAGUUGCUAUUAAUUUGUAUUAAAAAGUUGCCAUAGAGCUCUUUAAGCUUUAACUCAUUGGUUAAUUUUGGGUCUAGUAAAAAUCAGCAGUAAACUUGGCUGAGCAUCAGGGAAACAGAAAACCAGUCCCCAUCUUGACAAAUAUAUUUCAUUUUGAACAUGGGAUUGAUCUAUGGGACAACU